CAAGUUAACAUAUUUAUGUUUUCGGGUCAGAUGGUAGUGGGAAAUUUUUUAGCCGGAUAUAAUUUCUCCCAGGAAACCUGUUAGACUCAUGUUACACUCAAGGUCAAAAUUAAGCCUCACUAAAGGGACAUGUCUUGGCAGGUUUAAAGGAAUUUGCCCUAGUUCCAUGCAGGCGGGGUAAAUUCCAGCUCCAUUAGGGUAUUUUAAAGUUGUUGCCGUUAAAAAGCUCGUAAUUGAACUUUCGGCGCCUGAUGGCCGGUACCGCGUCUUUGGUGUGUACUUGCUCAUCGGGCGCUUACCUCCUGGUGAACUCUGAUGUACUUUUACUGGGUGUCAGAGCAAACCAAGGACGUUUACUUUGACAAAAUUAGAGUGUUCAAAGCAGGCCUAGGGCCGAAUUCAUUAGCAUGGAUUAUUAGAAUAGGACGCGCGUUCCCAUUUUGUUGGUUUGUGAGAUCGCCGUAAUGAUUAAUAGGGGAUAGUUGGGGGCAUUUGUAUUCCGUCGUGAGAGGUGAAAUUCUUGGAUUGCCGGAAGACAAACUACUGCGAAAGCAUUUGCCAAGGAUGUUUUCAUUGAUCAAGAACGAAGGAAGGGGGAUCGAAAACGAUCUGUUACCGUUGUAGUCUCUUCUGUAAACUAAGCCAAUUGGGGAUUAGCACAGGAUUUUCAAUGAGUGUGUUAGCACCCGAAGAGAAAUCUUUAAAUGAGGUUCGGGGGGGAGUAUGGUCGCAAGGCUGAAACUUAAAGGAAUUGACGGAAGGGCACCACCAGGUGUGGAGCCUGCGGCUUAAUUUGACUCAACACGGGGAAACUCACCAGGUCCAGACACAAUAAGGAUUGACAGAUUGAUAGCUCUUUUCUUGAUCUUGUGGAUGUUGGUGCAUGCCCGUUCUUAGUUGGUGGAGUGAUUUGUUUGGUUAAUUUCGAAUAACGAACGAGACCUUAACCUGUCUAAUAGCCCAAGUCGACUUUGGUUGACUGCCGUUUUCUUUAGAGGCAUUUCAGCGUUUACCUGAUGGAAAUUUGAGGCAAAUACUGGUCCUGUAAUGCCCAAAGGCCAAUUCUCGGCCCACUAAAUUCAAUUCUCCUCAAAAGGAAGUGUUAAUAACAUUUCCU
rnacentral:rRNA from 1 species